UACGUAGGGUGCAAGCGUUAAUCGGAAUUACUGGGCGUAAAGCGUGCGCAGGCGGUUCCAUAAGACAGAUGUGAAAUCCCCGGGCUCAACCUGGGAACUGCAUUUGUGACUGUGGGGCUAGAGUACGGUAGAGGGGGAUGGAAUUCCGCGUGUAGCAGUGAAAUGCGUAGAUAUGCGGAGGAACACCAAUGGCGAAGGGAAUCCCCGGGACCUGUAUUGACGCUCAUGCACGAAAGCGUGGGGAGCAAACAGG
rnacentral:rRNA from 1 species